UUUAAGGUCUAACCUGCCCAAUGAGGAUUUAAAUGGCCGCAGUAUUUUGACUGUGCAAAGGUAGCAUAAUUAUUAGUUUUUUAAUUGAAAGCUUGCAUGAAGGGUUGGACGAGAUAAAAUCUGUCUUUAUUUAAAUUAAAGUAUAAUUUAACUUUUAAGUCAAAAGGCUUAAAUGUUUAUAAAAGACGAGAAGACCCUAUAGAUCUUUAUUUAGUUAAGAUUUUAAUAAUUUAGGAUUAUUUUAAUUUGGAGUUUUAAUUAAAUUUUAUUGGGGUAAUAUAAAGAUUAAAUUAAUUCUUUUUAUUUAUAACAUUAAUUUAUGAAUAUGUGAUCCAUUAAUAUUGAUUAUAAGAUUAAGUUACCUUAGGGAUAACAGCGUAAUUUUUUUGGAGAGCUCAUAUCGAUAAGAAAGUUUGCGACCUCGAUGUUGGAUUAAAAAUUAGCUUGGGUGCAGAAGCUCAAGAUUUUGGUCUGUUCGACCAUUAAAUUUUUACAUGAUCUGAGUUCAGACCGGCGUAAGCCAGGUCGGUUUCUAUCUUUAUUCAGAUAAAAUAUUUUAGUACGAAAGGACCAAGUAUUUAAUAUAAUUAUAUUUAUUUUUU
rnacentral:rRNA from 1 species